GGAUUAGAUACCCUGGUAGUCCACGCCCUAAACGAUGUCAACUAGACGUUGGGUUCAUCUGGAACUUAGUGUCGAAGCUAACGCGUUAAGUUGACCGCCUGGGGAGUACGGCCGCAAGGUUGAAACUCAAAGGAAUUGACGGGGGCCCGCACAAGCGGUGGAGCAUGUGGUUUAAUUCGAUGCAACGCGAAGAACCUUACCAGCCCUUGACAUCCUGGGAAUCUCUAAGAGAUUAGAGAGUGCCUUCGGGAAUCCAGUGACAGGUGCUGCAUGGCUGUCGUCAGCUCGUGCUG
rnacentral:rRNA from 1 species